rnacentral:rRNA from 1 species
AUGGCGCCAUGCGAUGCUGUCCGGCGUCGCGUGGUCCUUUUCCCGCUGCCCUACCUUGGCCACAUGAUCCCCAUGCUCCGGCUUGCCGCGGCGCUGCACGCCAGCGGCCACGCUAUCACUGUGCUCCACACGGAACUCCACGCGCCGGACCCGGCGUGCUACCCUGCGGACUACCGCUUCGUGGCCGUGCCCGCCCCCGACCUCCCCGCGGCAACCGAGGACAUCGCGGCGUUCCUGGUGGCGCUCAACGCGUCCUGCGCGGCCGCCUUCAAGGACCGGCUGGCCGCGCUGCUCGCCGGGGGGAGCGUCCGCUGCGUGGUCACCGACGUGGUGUGGUUCUCGGCGCAGGCGGCAGCGAGGGACCUCGGCGUGCCGGCGCUGGCGCUCAUGACGAGCAGCGCGGCCAGCUUCCGGACCUUCAUGGCCUACCGGGCGCUGCUCGCCAAGGGCCACCUGCCAUACGACGAGGCGCGGGGGAACGCUCCCGUGGAGGAGCUGCCGCCGUUCCGGGUGAGAGACCUGCAGCGGAUCGACGCGAGCAGCCUCGACACCUUCGCCGACCUGCUCGAGCGGUUCGUCGACGCAGCUAGGCGGUCGUCAGGCCUCAUCGUCAACACCUUCGACGCGAUCGAGGGGCCCGAGGUCGGCUACAUCCGCGACGGCCUUUCCUUGCCGGUGUUCCCCGUCGGCUCCCUGAACAGAUUCUCGCCGCCACCACCACCGCCGCCCCAAGACGGCUCCCCAUGCUGCCUCGACUGGCUGGACAACCAGUCGCCGGGAUCCGUCCUGUUCGUCAGCCUCGGGACCGUCGCCAGCGUCGACGCGCACGAGCUAGCGGAGCUGGCCUGGGCAUUAGCCGACGCCGGCCGUCCGUUCGUGUGGGUGGUCCGGCCAGGCAUGGUCCGCGGGCGUCCAUCGUGCUCGCUCGAGCUGCCCGGCGGCCUGGCUGAGCAGAUAGGCGACCGAGGGAUGGUCGUCCCUUGGACCCCUCAGGAGAAGGUGCUCGGCCACGCCGCCGUGGGCGCCUUCCUGACGCACAGCGGGUGGAACUCGACGGUGGAGGCGCUGUCGGAGGGCGUGCCGAUGGCCUGCCUGCCGUGCUUCGGCGACCAGUUCGAGACGGCGAGGUACGCGUGCGACGUGUGGAAGGUGGGUGUGGAGGUGGGGAGGCUCCAGCGGGGGGCCGUCCGGGCUGCCAUCGACAGGUUGAUGGGCCCUGGCAUUGAAGGGGAGGAGAUCAGACAGAGGGCCCGAGAUCUCAAGGGCAAGGUCGGACAGUGCAUUGGAGAAGGGGGCUCCUCUCACAUGGCGCUGCUCGGCUUGCUGGAACGAAUUGCUUCAUUCUGA